rnacentral:rRNA from 1 species
GUAGGUGGCAGCGUUGUCCAGAAUUAUUGGGCGUAAAGCGCGCGCAGGCGGUUCUUUAAGUCUGAUGUGAAAGCCCACGGGCUCAACCGUGGAGGGUCAUUGGAAACUGGAGAACUUGAGUACAGAAGAGGAAAGCGGAAUUCCACGUGUAGCGGUGAAAUGCGUAGAGAUGUGGAGGAACACCAGUGGCGAAGGCGGCUUUCUGGUCUGUAACUGACGCUGAGGCGCGAAAGCGUGGGGAGCAAACAGGAUUAGAUACCCUGGUAGUCCACGCCGUAAACGAUGAGUGCUAAGUGUUAGGGGGUUUCCGCCCCUUAGUGCUGCAGCUAACGCAUUAAGCACUCCGCCUGGGGAGUACGGCCGCAAGGCUG